rnacentral:lncRNA from 1 species
AGGGAAGGGGUUCCACCCCUUUUACUUGUCUUUAUUGUAUUUCUUUUCUUAAUUGCUCCCAAUGUGUUAUGUGUACUAUCAACUGCACUAACCAUUUCAUUGUUUCCUUGGUUUGCAUUCAUGUGCCCUAGCAAUAAGAGGCCUCUUUGGCACUCUUUUAGUGACUUACCCACUAGAUGAUUCACAUGUUUAAAUUUCAGCUGUUACACCUGAUUUUCAAU